GAGUUUGAUCUUGGCUCAGAUUGAACGCUGGCGGCAUGCUUUACACAUGCAAGUCGAGCGGCAGCGCGGGGCAACCUGGCGGCGAGCGGCGAACGGGUGAGGAAUACAUCGGAACGUGUCCCGUAGUGGGGGAUAGCCCGGCGAAAGCCGGAUUAAUACCGCAUAUGCUCUACGGAGGAAAGCCGGGGAUCCGCAAGGACCUGGCGCUAUGGGGGCGGCCGAUGUCCGAUUAGCUAGUUGGUGGGGUAAAGGCCUACCAAGGCGACGAUCGGUAGCUGGUCUGAGAGGAUGAUCAGCCACACUGGGACUGAGACACGGCCCAGACUCCUACGGGAGGCAGCAGUGGGGAAUUUUGGACAAUGGGGGCAACCCUGAUCCAGCCAUGCCGCGUGCGGGAAGAAGGCCU
rnacentral:rRNA from 1 species